rnacentral:lncRNA from 1 species
GGAACAAAGUUUUAUUAUAAAUCAUUCAAAGAUCUUAUGAACAAAUAUAAUAUUAAACAUUAUACAACAUACAGUAAUGUAAAGGCUGAAAUGGUUGAAUGUGUAUAACUUAAAAGGACAAUAUAAAAUACAAUUUGCAAACAUUUUAGAUCAUUAGGGUCUUGGAUUUGGAAGGACUCAAUAUCAAAACUAAUAAUUAAUUAUAAUAAUACUAUAUAUUUAAUGAUUAAAUGUACACCACUUGAAGCUAGAAAAAAACAAUUAUUUAGGUUAAAAAAUAUAAAAAUAUGAAAACCUUAAUUUAAAAUUAAUGAUAAGGUUAGAAUAUUUAUAUAAAAGCAUGCAUUUAGUAAGGGGUGUACAGCAAAUUGGAUUACAGAGGUAUUUAAAAUAUCAAAGGUUUUAAGCACUUUUCUAAAUGUAUAUUAGCUUAAAUAUGGAACAAAUAAUACAAUUUUGGGAUGCAUUAAUGAACAAAAAUUUAUAAAUAACCAAUUUCUCAAAAUCCUUUCUUACUGAACAUAUUUUCAAAAUAAGCAUAAUAUAUAUGUAAAGUGGUUGGGUUUUGACAACAGCCACAAUUCAUGAAUUGAAAAAUAAUUGUAAAGCCUAAAUUUGUUAAAAGAAACUAAAUUACAAAUUAAAUGUUUUAAAUUUAUUUAUAAUAUUAAAAAGAUAUUGAAAUUUAUUUUUGUAAUCUUUUUAAUUUAUAGUGACCAUAAUAUGUUAAUUUUUUAACUGUUUUAGAAUAGAGAAAAUGAUAACACAAUUGAAUUAUGUUUAUACUAUUAUAAAUUUUAUUUGAAGAAUCUCAUUUGUUACAAAUACUACUAAUACUAGUGGUUUUUAUAAUUAAUAAAAGUAAUUUUACAAAAGACAGAUUUUAAAGUAUAUCCUGCUAUAAAAAUCAAAAAUGUAACUUAUUAACAUGAACUUUGUGUUAUAUUUUUAUUAACAAAUAAUAAGUAACGAAAAACAAAAAUAAUUGUUCUACUCUUGACAUAUGUAAUAAAAUACUAAAAAUAAAAAAAUAAACUGUACUUAUAAUACAUUUUUACUCAUAAUAAGUAAUGUUUAAACACUUAUAACAUUUUGCUUUUAUCUUUAAUAAUGUAAUUAUACUAUAAAAUAAUAAUAAGACAUUUGUUUUAUAUUCAUUAAUAAAUGAAAUUUAACAUUUUUAAACUUAAUUUAACAGUAACUACAAAACGGCACAUAGUAAUUUCUUGUUAAAUUAUCAAAACAAAAGGAACUUCAGUUUCCUUAUCAUGUAAGGAAACUAGUGGUUUAGGUUUUUUUCUUAAUCAUGACGAAAACAUCAAAAAAGUUAACAGAAUAAUUUUGAAUGACCGUGAAGUGAAGUUGAUCGAGAUAGCAGACAUUGUGAAGAUAUCAUCUGGACAUGUACAUCAUAUCAUUCACGAAUAUUUAUACAUGAGAAAUCUGUGUGCAAAAUGGGUGCCGCGCGAGCUCACAAUCGAUCAAAAGCAACAACGUGUUAAUGAUUCUGAGCAGUGUUUGAAGCUGUUCAAUCGCAAUAAACCUGAACUUUUACGUCAAUAUGUGACAAUGGAUGAAACAUUGGCUCCAUCAUUUCACUCCGGAGUCCAAUUGACAAUCAGCUGAGGUUCCUGCACACGAUGAACCGAAUCCAAAGCGAGGAAAAACACAACAGUCAGCUGGCAAGGUUAUGGCAUCAGUAUUCUGGGAUGCGUAAGGUAAAAUAUUCAUUGAUUACCUCCAAAAGGGCCAGACUGUCAACAGCGAUUAUUAUAUAGCAUUAUUGGAUUGUUUAUAGGAUGAAAUCGUUAAAAACGGCCUCAUCUGAAGAAGAAAAAAGUGCUGUUUUAUCAAGACAAUGCACUGUGUUACAAAUCAAUGAAAACAAUGGCAAAAUUGCAUGAAUUGGGUUUCAAAUUGCUUCCACAUCCACCAUAUUCGCCAGAUCUGACCCCCAGCGACUUUUUCCUGUUUUCAGACCUCAAAAGAACCCUUACUGGAAAGGAAUUUAGCGUCAAUGAAGAAGUAAUCGCCAAAACUGAGGCCUAUUUUGAAGCAAAAGACAAAUCGUACUACAAAUUUUGCCAUUGUUUUCAUUGAUUUGUAACACAGUGCAUUGUCUUGACGAAACAGCACUUCUUUCUUCUUCAGAUGAGGCCGUUUCUAACGAAUUCAUCCUUUAAACAAUCCAAUAAUGCUAUAUAAUAAUCGCUGUUGAUAGUCUGGCCCUUUUGGAGGUAAUCAAUGAAUAUUUUACCUUGCGCAUCCCAGAAUACUGAUGCUAUAACCUUGCCAGCUGACUGUUGUGUUUUUCCUCGCUUUGGAUUUGGUUCAUCAUGUGUAGUAACUUCAGCUGACUGUCAAUUGGACCUCGGGGUGAAAUAUGGAGCCAAAGUUUCAUCCAUUGUCACAUAUUGACGUAAAAGUUCAGGUUUAUUGCGAUUGAACAGCUUCAAACACUGCUCAGAAUCAUUAACACGUUGUUGCUUUUGAUCGAUUGUGAGCUCGCGCGGCACCCAUUUUGCACACAGAUUUCUCAUGUAUAAAUAUUCGUGAAUGAUAUGAUGUACAUGUCCAGAUGAUAUCUUUACAAUAUCUGCUAUCUCGAUCAACUUCACUUUACGGUCAUUCAAAAUUAUUCUGUUAACUUUUUUGAUGUUUUCGUCAUGAUUAAGAAAAAAACCUAAACCACUAGUUUCCUUACAUGAUAAGGAAACUGAAGUUCCUUUUGUUUUGAUAAUUUAACAAGAAAUUACUAUGUGCCGUUUUGUAGUUACUGUUAAAUUAAGUUUAAAAAUGUUAAAUUUCAUUUAUUAAUGAAUAUAAAACAAAUGUCUUAUUAUUAUUUUACAGUAUAAUUACAUUAUUAAAGAUAAAAGCAAAAUGUUAUAAGUGUUUAAACAUUACUUAUUAUGAGUAAAAAUGUAUUAUAAGUACAGUUUAUUUUUUUAUUUUUAGUAUUUUAUUACAUAUGUCAAGAGUUUAACAAUUAUUUUUGUUUCUCGUUACUUAUUAUUUGUUAAUAAAAAUAUAACACAAAGUUCAUGUUAAUAAGUUACAUUUUUGAUUUUUAUAGCAGGAUAUACUUUAAAAUCUGUCUUUUGUAAAAUUACUUUUAUUAAUUAUAAAAACCACUAGUAUUAGUAGUAUUUGUAACAAAUGAGAUUCUUCAAAUAAAAUUUAUAAUAGUAUAAAC